rnacentral:lncRNA from 10 species
AAGCUGCGAAGAUGGCGGAGUAAGGCGUGCCGCUGCAAACUGGCCUCUGGGCCGGGGGCGAGCAGCCCCCGGGAGGCCGAGUGCAUCUGUUGGACCGUGCGAGGAGAAGAAAAAAAAUAUCGGCCAGAGGAGAGGAACUAACCGAACAUUCUUCCUCCCUACCUUAUAGAGGGGAGUGGUCAUCUACACUAAAGCAAAGUGUUAGGCGCGUCCGUGCGAAGAGACCACCAAACAGGCUUUGUGUUCCUUAUCACAGGAAGAAAAUUUUCCUUGACCUUUAGGUGCUUUUAUAUUCAUCUCAAAAACAAAAUUCUGAACUCAGGACUUGGCAAAGUUUUGCUCUUGUCGCCCAGGCUGAAGUGCAAUGGCGCAAUCUCAGCUCACUGCAACCUCCGCCUCCCGGGUUCAAGCGAUUCUCCUGCCUCAGCCUCCUGAGUAGCUGACAUUAUAGGCACCUGCCACCACGCCCAGCUAAUUUUUGUAUUUUUAGUAGAGAUGGGGUUUCACCAUAUUGGGCAGGCUCGUCUUGAACUCCUGACCUCGUGAUCCGCCCACCUUAGCCUCCCAAAAUGCUGAGAUUGGAGGUGUGAGCCACCGCGCCUGGCCAGUGUGUCCUUUCUUAAUUGACAGUGACAUUAUAUC